rnacentral:rRNA from 1 species
AGAGUUUGAUCCUGGCUCAGGAUGAACGCUAGCGGCAGGCCUAAUACAUGCAAGUCGAACGCUCAGUAGCAAUACUGGGAGUGGCGCACGGGUGCGUAACGCGUACACAAUCUACCUCUAAGCGGGGGACACCUACCUGGAAACGGGGAUUAAUACCGCAUAAUAUGCCGAGGUCGCAUGACUUUGGUAUUAAAGCAGCAAUGCACUUAGAGAUGAGUGUGCGUCCCAUUAGGUAGUUGGUGAGGUAACGGCUCACCAAGCCUAUGAUGGGUAGCCGGUCUGAGAGGAUGGUCGGCCACACGGGCACUGAGACACGGGCCCGACUCCUACGGGAGGCAGCAGUAAGGAAUAUUGGUCAAUGGUGGAAACACUGAACCAGCCAUGCCGCGUGGAGGAAUAAGGUCCUACGGAUUGUAAACUCCUUUUGACGAGGAAGAAAGUGUUAGAUUUAUCUAAUUUUGACGGUACUCGUAGAAUAAGCACCGGCUAACUCCGUG